UUUGUGAAAUAUGUCACACGUGUUUCCAUAGCAACUACACUCAGAAGUGAGGCUCUAGUGCGAAGCAAAUUUGAAAAGAUAGCCUCAAUUCAAAUUGUUUUCUACAAUAAAUUCGAGAAUAUGAAGUUGAAAUCGUUAAUAAUCGAAAUCAGUAAGUCAUAGUGAA
rnacentral:rRNA from 1 species